rnacentral:ncRNA from 1 species
AUAAAGUUUUAUUCUUGCUUUAUAUUAAGUUUUUUUAUUUUAUAAAUAUAUUUAAUUAUUGAUUUUUAUUUAUAUUAUAAAGUUUUAUUUAAUUUUAAUUUUUGUAAUAGAAAUAGAAUUUUUAAAUGGUUAAAAUUGUGCCAGCAACUGCGGUUAAACAAUUGUUUAUACUUAAUAUUUGUAUAAAUUUUAAUUUUUUGUAUUUAAAUAUUUUAAUGUAUAUUUUGAGUGAAAUUUAGUAUAUAUUUAUAUUAAAAUUAAUUAUUGUAUUUAAGAAAUUAAUUAAAUAAACUAGGAUUAGAUACCCUAUUAUAAGUUAAUGUAAUUUUAAUUUAGAGUAGUAAAUGUUAUUGUCAGGAAACUUAAAGAAUUUGGCGGUAAUUAUUCUAAAUAGAGGAACAUGUUUUUAAUCGAUGAUACCCGAGUAUCUUUCUUUAUUUAAUAACUUUGUGUAUUUCCGUCUAAAAAAAAUAUUUUAAAAUGUAUUUUUAUUUUCUUUAUUGAAAAAAGUCAGGUCACAAUGCAGGUUACAAUUAAGAAAAAAUGUGUUACAAUAAAUUUAUUUUCGGAAAAAGUUAUGAAAAAUUUUAGAAGUUGGAUUUAUAAGUAAAAUAUUUUAAUUAAAUAUAUUUGAAUUUAGUAAAUAAAUAUGCACAUAUUGCCCGUCAUUCUCUUUGAAUAAGAGACAAGUCGUAACAAAGUAGAUUUACUGGAAAGUGAAUCUGGUUUCUA